GGACUACUGGGGUAUCUAAUCCUGUUUGCUCCCCACGCUUUCGAACCUGAGCGUCAGUACCGAGCCAGAUGGCCGCCUUCGCCACCGGUGUUCUUCCUAAUAUCUACGAAUUUCACCUCUACACUAGGAAUUCCGCCAUCCUCUCUCGGACUCAAGCGUUCCCGUUUCAAAGGCAAUUCUGGAGUUGAGCCCCAGGCUUUCACCUCUGACAUGGAACACCGCCUACGUUCGCUUUACGCCCAGUAAUUCCGAACAACGCUAGCCCCCUUCGUAUUACCGCGGCUGCUGGCAC
rnacentral:rRNA from 1 species